rnacentral:rRNA from 1 species
GGCAGCCGCGGUAAUUCCAGCUCCAAUAGCGUAUAUUAAAGUUGUUGCAGUUAAAAAGCUCGUAGUUGAAUUUCGGGGUCAGUAGGUUGGUCAUGCCUCCGGUAUGUACUGGUCUCACUGAUUCCUCCUUCCUGAUGAGCCGUAAUGCCAUUAAUUUGGUGUUGCGGGGAAUCUGGACUGUUACUUUGAAAAAUUAAGAGUGUUUAAAGCAAGCUAACGCUUGAAUACAUUAGCAUGGAAUAAUGGAAUAGGACGUUCGAUCCUAUUUUGUUGGUUUCUUAGGAUUGACGUAAUGAUUAAUAGGGAUAGUUGGGGGUCGAUUAGUAUUCAAUUGUCAGAGGUGAAAUUCUUGGAUUUAUUUGAAGACUAACUACUGCGAAAGCAUUUGCCAAGGA